rnacentral:lncRNA from 1 species
AAUACUAGAGCUCUAUUCAUAGUGACUCAGAAUGGACCUCAGACUCUUGCCCUUAUUCAAAAAUGACAGAUUGCCCUCCACAUGAAACUGCCUUUCCUAGUAAGGUAGACUGCUCGGAAAAGGGUGGGGGAGUUUAUCAUGCAAUCUUUCUGAAGAAGCCAAAGGCCAUCAUGCUGACUCAUUAAUAUCUACAGCCUUUCAGCCCUUUAUUAAUCCAGAAUAAGUAAAUGAACAGGUGCUAACUGAAAAUAAACACAUAUUUAACCUAGUAAAAAAGGAUCUAGUUAUCCUGUGUGACUGGAAUGAAAGUGUUAUUAUCUUUACCAUUUAACUGAAUAGAACACAUGAAUCUUUUUGUUUUGUUUUGUUUUGUUUUUGGAGACGGAGUCUGGCUCUAUCACCCACGAUGGAGUGCAGUGGCGCAAUCUCGGCUCACUGCAACCUUCACCUCCCGGCUUCAAGCGAUUCUCCUGCCUCAACCCCCUGAGUAGCUGGGAUUACAGGUAGGCACCACUACACCCUGCUAGUUUUUGUAUUUUUAGUAGAGACAGGGUUUCACCAUGUUGGUCAGGCUGGUCUCAAACUCCUGACCUUAAGUGAUCCGCCUGCCUUGACCUCCCAAAAUGCUGGGAUUACAGGCAUAAGCCUCUGUGCCUGGCUCAGUAUAUGAAUCUUUGAAGCUGAUACUAUAAGAAAAAACUGGUAACUGAUGUAUUCUACUUGCUUUGGAUCUGAAAUGUGGUAGCCCCCUAAUCAUGUUUCUUUACAUCCAGGAUCUUGGAAUGGCACCCCAACAUAAAAUAAAUUCAGGAUGAAAAUCACACACUAUACUAGAAAAUCUAGGGCUUUCUCAUAUAUACAAGUUUGGACUGACAGUCCCUGGCACCUUCUAAAAUUCGUUGUGAUUUGACCCCAGGAUCUGGGAUUAAAACAUCUUGAAUUUCAUUCACAUCUGUGCCCUUUCAAAUGAUUAAAACUUCUUUUGUACUUAAGUUAGUCCAUUGUACGCAGAGUGGUAUUAUGAACACAUGACACCAUGGGUUUCUUUCUGGCUGUGUAGAAGGAAGACCAUGCUUUCUCCAGGUGUAUUUUAUCAGGUACAUUGUUUCUACUGCCUUACAGCAUAUUUUAUCACAAAAUAAUCUGCAAUUGCCCUAGCUUUUGGAGAUUUAGCAUUAUUUUCUGUAAGAAUCAGAUUGGAGGUUAGACUUCCUUAUCAUUAGCAGCUACUCUUUGAAAUAAGCUAACAUUAAAGAGAAGCUCUAGAGAACAAAACCUCAUUUCAGAAGGCAGACUUGAGCAGCAGGAGAAAAGCAGGCAUUUGU